rnacentral:rRNA from 1 species
GACGAACGCUGGCGGCAUGCCUAACACAUGCAAGUCGAACGAGGAUAGCAAUAUCCUAGUGGCGAACGGGUGAGUAACGCGUGAGCAACCUGCCUCAUACAACGGGAUACCCGAGGGAAACUUCGGUUAAUACGGUAUAAGACCACACUACCGCAUGGUAGAGGGGUAAAAGGAGAAAUCCGGUAUGAGAUGGGCUCGCGUCGCAUUAGCUAGUUGGUGAGGUAACGGCCCACCAAGGCGACGAUGCGUAGCCGACCUGAGAGGGUGAUCGGCCACAUUGGGACUGAGAUACGGCCCAG